rnacentral:rRNA from 1 species
GGGGUAGAGUAAUGCAUCGGAACGUGUCCCGUAGUGGGGGAGUAACCCGGCGAAAGCCGGACUAAUACCGCAUAUGCUCUACGGAGGAAAGCGGGGGAUCGCAAGACCUCGCGCGAAUGGAGCGGCCGAUGGCAGAUUAGGUAGUUGGUGGGGUAAAGGCCUACCAAGCCUUCGAUCUGUAGCUGGUCUGAGAGGACGACCAGCCACACUGGGACUGAGACACGGCCCAG